CUACGGGUCGCAGCAGUGAGGAAUAUUGCACAAUGGGGGGAACCCUGAUGCAGCAACGCCGCGUGGAGGAUGACGCAUUUCGGUGUGUAAACUCCUUUUAUAUGUCAAGAAAAUGACGGUAGCAUAUGAAUAAGCACCGGCUAACUCCGUGCCAGCAGCCGCGGUAAUACGGAGGGUGGCAAGCGUUACUCGGAAUCACUGGGCGUAAAGGACGCGUAGGCGGGUUGGAAAGUCAGGUGUGAAAUCCUACAGCUUAACUGUAGAACUGCACUUGAAACUUCUAAUCUAGAGUAUGGGAGGGGGAGAUGGAAUUAGUGGUGUAGGGGUAAAAUCCGUAGAUAUCACUAGGAAUACCUAAAGCGAAGGCGAUCUCCUGGAACAUUACUGACGCUAAGGCGUGAAAGCGUGGGGAGCAAACAGGAUUAGAUACCCCAGUAGUC
rnacentral:rRNA from 1 species